GGCAAGAAGAACACGGAGAAAAACAAGACAUUGGCAGAUGUUCUUGUUCGGUCAGACAUCUCAUAGGAAGGACGAAGGUACCAAUUCCAGCUGAUGGUCCCUCUCCACUUUGUGUUAGCUCAUGCAUGCUUAUUUAUUGAUCAAUUGUUGUAUGAUCCAUUCACAAUUUUAGGAUGGUGCAUUCUUGAUACAAUUUCACUUACUCAAUCCAUGCAGUCUAUGGACUGAACAAACAAUUACUACAGUUAUUUUCAACUCGUUCUGUGUAGUUUCGAACAUAUUGCUUAUAGUGUCUAGUUUGGUGCUUAAUCCAGCUAGAAAUGCUUUCUGGGAAUACUAGUAACACAUAUUCACUCCACAGAAUAGUUAACGAGUCCUACCUGAACUUUGUAUUCCAUUCAUAUUCUUCUGGCAGCAACUUGCCACACAGCCAAAAGUUAUCGGGUGUGUCAGCAUGAACUUUCCAUCCCUCUGUUCAGGUGUAUUACUAUUUCUGAACUAUCAGGCACAAAGGAUGCCGAACCUUGUUCAUCUGGUGAUCACUGUAUUGGAAUAUGAAGGAUAUGUAGCCUUGUCAUCACACCUUCCUUUUUCCUGAAUAUUAUGACUAGCUGAUUAAAGCCUGAAACUGAAGCUUGAUCUUACUUAAAAUUGACCACAACCUAAUUUUUAUGCUGCAGUCAGGCCUUGGAUAGAAAAUAAACAUGUUAUCCAGGUGAUAUUUCACUAUAUUAUUUUAGUAUUAGAAAUGCACAUUCACGGAUUAUAGUAGCGUUUCUGUUUACUGAAUUUCAUUCUGCUAUUUUUUUUCCAUAUCGCUCAUUCUAUUGGCAUGUUUACUCAAAUGUGCCUAAUGUUUCUUAUUUUUGUUUUCAGGUUUCUCAGAACUACAGAUGCUGCUCUAUAAUCAAUUAUGAAGUUAUUUUUGUGGGGUAAUCAAUUAGGAAGCUGAUGGUGGUAGCUUACUGAACUCUCAUUUUGGGGCAAAUCUGGAGAUGUCUUGGUCUGAUGGAGUUUCAUGAUCAACUUACUAUAUCCCGUUCUAAGGGCACCCCAGCACACGGGUAAGCAGUCGAUCAGACAGCCCAAGCCCAAGAGAUGAUCAAAAUUUCAGAUAGACUUGAUUCGGUAUGCGGCCAAUUCUGAAUCUGAAUCUUAA
rnacentral:lncRNA from 1 species